CCUACGGGAGGCAGCAGUAGGGAAUCUUCCACAAUGGGCGAAAGCCUGAUGGAGCAACGCCGCGUGGGUGAAGAAGGUCUUCGGAUCGUAAAACCCUGUUGUUAGAGAAGAAAGUGCGUGAGAGUAACUGUUCACGUUUCGACGGUAUCUAACCAGAAAGCCACGGCUAACUACGUGCCAGCAGCCGCGGUAAUACGUAGGUGGCAAGCGUUAUCCGGAUUUAUUUGGCGUAAAGGGAACGCAGGCGGUCUUUUAAGUCUGAUGUGAAAGCCUUCGGCUUAACCGGAGUAGUGCAUUGGAAACUGGGAGACUUGAGUGCAGAAGAGGAGAGUGGAACUCCAUGUGUAGCGGUGAAAUGCGUAGAUAUAUGGAAGAACACCAGUGGCGAAAGCGGCUCUCUGGUCUGUAACUGACGCUGAGGUUCGAAAGCGUGGGUAGCAAACAGGAUUAGAUACCCCGGUAGUC
rnacentral:rRNA from 1 species